UUCGAAUUCCUCUUUCUCCCAGACCAAGUCUGUACUACAUUCCUGGUCCUGCCUUUCAUCCUGAACCUUCACGCUCUGACACCGGUUGCCUUGGUUUGUAGGGUUAGGCAAGUCCCUGGAAGCCUGGUGCUACCCUGACCAGACGCGGAAGUGGCUUGGAUAGGUUGAGCCCUGUCCCGCCACAUGGGAAGAGUAAAUGAAGAAAGAGACUGGAGUCUCUCCUCCAGCAUGGUGAGGGACUAGGUAUUCCUGCAGCUGGAGGAGCCACCUGUUUCCCAGGCUGUGCCCCUCCCUCUAGUUGGUCAGGACCUGCCCCUGGAGCUUGCUGGGGCAUGCUUCUCUUAUAAUGGAGGCACUGUUCAAGCUAGAUGGGCAGAGCCUCGCAUGGACGGCAGCCAGGAGCAUCCAAUGGCAACAAACAGCAAGUUUAGGAGAGAUACACGUGGGAAAAACGUCAGUUUAAUGAGAGCCGCCAACCCAGGGCUGGGAAUUCUUCUUGGAAUGAAAUCUCAAAAAUAUGAGAGCCAAGGGAACUGGAAGAGACAGAAAAACUCCCAUCUACACUGGAGAAGGUCCUAUCGCCUCCUUGGAAGACAAAUGCAGAAUGGGAGAAGUCUACUUUGUUGGCACCAGGACCAGUGAAACCUGUGACAUCACAUAGGCGGGAGCUGCAGACCUGUUGCCAAGACAUCAGCCACCAUAUUCUCAGAAUCGACUUGGCUCACCUCCCACCUUUACCUGUGUUACAUCAUUAUCCAUAUAUAUAUAUAUAAGGGGAAUACCCUUCCUUUUCUGUCUCUUCCCCCAUCUCUUCCCACCAUCACCUUCCUUGCCCCUCUCUCUCCUAAUAAACAUCUUACACGU
rnacentral:lncRNA from 1 species